rnacentral:rRNA from 1 species
GACGAACGCUGGCGGCGUGCUUAACACAUGCAAGUCGAACGGUAAGGCCCUUCGGGGUACACGAGUGGCGAACGGGUGAGUAACACGUGGGUGAUCAGCCCUGCACUUCGGGAUAAGCCUGGGAAACUGGGUCUAAUACCGGAUAGGACUCCUGCCUGCAUGGGUGGGGGUGGAAAGCUUUUGUGGUGUGGGAUGGGCCCGCGGCCUAUCAGCUUGUUGGUGGGGUGAUGGCCUACCAAGGCGACGACGGGUAGCCGGCCUGAGAGGGUGACCGGCCACACUGGGACUGAGAUACGGCCCAGACUCCUACGGGAGGCAGCAGUGGGGAAUAUUGCACAAUGGGCGCAAGCCUGAUGCAGCGACGCCGCGUGAGGGAUGACGGCCUUCGGGUUGUAAACCUCUUUCAGCACAGACGAAGCGCAAGUGACGGUAUGUGCAGAAGAAGGACCGGCCAACUACGUGCCAGCCGCCGCAGUAA